UUUGUUAAAAGAAAUUUUCUGUUGGUUUUUUCAUCUGCAUCAAAGUCUUUGACCUGAAAUAAAUUUUAAGAUAUUAAAAUAAAAUAGAAGACCUGGAUGCCACCAAAAUAAAAAGAAAUAAGACAUAUCAUUAUGUCAGUAGGUGAGGGGCCUGAAGUACAGUGAUAUGUAUAAUUUAAAUGUCAAGGCGGGUAAUAUAUAUGCUAAUUAAAUAUUUGGUUUAUGUACCCUGAGAACACAUGGGAGGGAAGAUCAAGAUCAAGGGAAAGUAGCUAUGACUUGGGCACCAAAGAAGAGGUAAAGAUUGGGAUAGGCAAAGGAGACAUCCCAGACUGAUAAAUAAACAGAGAUUUAGAGGAAAGGAAUGCAAGAGAUGACAUAUUGCAGGGCAAAAGAUGGUGAAUGUCUUAACUUGGGCACCUGAAGAGAGAGCAUAAGGCAGGAAAGAGGAGGGUGUUGCAAAGGUAUGGUGGUGGGAUUUGGCAGAUGACUCUCAGUAAAGAGUAGGAAGGGAAAAAGGGUUUGAGGAGGGUCCUGGAGAGUCUAGCUUAGUAGGAUAAUAGUAUUAAUCUAAAGGACAGGCACCUCAGACUUGGGAAAGUCAUGUAGUUAGGGAGGUAAAAGCAAAUAAGAACAUGGACUCUGAACAUACAGUCCCGGGUCACUGUUUGUACUAUACCACUUGCUUAUUUGUUAGUUGCUUUCAACAAGUCAGUUAUUUAAGCCCCAGUUACUUCGAUACAAAACAGGUAUAAUCUUAAUACUGUGUAACUUAUAGUAUUGUUGGAAGUAAGUUAAUACCAAUAGAGAUCUUAGCACCAUGCUCCAUAGCAUACAUACAGUUCAGUAGCCCUCUAGGUGAGCA